UAGGGGAUAUUGCACAAUGGGCGAAAGCCUGAACUAGCAACGCCGCGUGUGCGAAGAAGGCCUUCGGGUUGUAAAGCACUUUUUGAGAGGAUGAGGAAGGACGGUACUCUCAGAAUAAGUCUCGGCUAACUACGUGCCAGCAGCCGCGGUAACACGUAGGAGGCGAACGUUAUCCGGAUUUACUGGGCGUAAAGCGCGUGUAGGUGGUUUGGUAAGUAGGGCGUGAAAGCUCCUGGCUCAACUGGGAGAGGCCGUUCUAAACUGCCGAACUAGAGGAUGGUAGAGGGAGGUGGAAUUCCGGGUGUAGCGGUGGAAUGCGCAGAUAUCCGGAGGAACACCAGUGGCGAAAGCGGCCUCCUGGACCAUUCCUGACACUCAGACGCGAAAGCUAGGGUAGCAAACGG
rnacentral:rRNA from 1 species